UACGUAGGGUGCAAGCGUUAAUCGGAAUUACUGGGCGUAAAGCGUGCGCAGGCGGUUAUGUAAGACAGGUGUGAAAUCCCCGGGCUUAACCUGGGAACUGCAUUUGUGACUGCAUCGCUGGAGUGCGGCAGAGGGGGAUGGAAUUCCGCGUGUAGCAGUGAAAUGCGUAGAUAUGCGGAGGAACACCGAUGGCGAAGGCAAUCCCCUGGGCCUGCACUGACGCUCAUGCACGAAAGCGUGGGGAGCAAACAGG
rnacentral:rRNA from 1 species